CUAUUGUGAUGAACAAACUUUUCAGUUCUGCUACCGAGAAAUCGUGAGCGAUAAACCAUAUACCAAAACACUAUCUGAUUC
rnacentral:snoRNA from 1 species